UACGGGGGGGGCAAGCGUUGUUCGGAAUUACUGGGCGUAAAGGGCUCGUAGGCGGCCAACUAAGUCGAACGUGAAAUCCCCGGGCUCAACCCGGGAACUGCGUCCGAUACUGGAAGGCUUGAAUCCGGGAGAGGGAUGCGGAAUUCCAGGUGUAGCGGUGAAAUGCGUAGAUAUCAGGAGGAACACCAGUGGCGAAGGCGGCUUCCUGGACACCAACUGACGCUGAGACGCGAAAGCGUGGGGAGCAAACAGG
rnacentral:rRNA from 1 species